CAUGCCCCUUAUACGCUGGGCUACACACGUGCUACAAUGGGUAGUACAGAGAGUCGCAAAGCCGUGAGGUGGAGCUAAUCUCAGAAAACUAUUCUUAGUUCGGAUUGUACUCUGCAACUCGAGUACAUGAAGUUGGAAUCGCUAGUAAUCGCGAAUCAGCAAUGUCGCGGUGAAUACGUUCUCGGGUCUUGUACACACCGCCCGUCACACCACGAGAGUUGGUUGCACCUGAAGUAGCAGGCCUAACCGUAAGGAGGGAUGCUCCGAGGGUGUGAUUAGCGAUUGGGGUGAAGUCGUAACAAGGUAUCCGUACGGGAACGUGCGGAUGGAUCACCUCCUUUCUAAGGAGAAUAAGUCUUUCUCUAUUCUAUUGGUAAUGUUCUUUACAUUACUUCUGAACAUUGGAAACUAUAUAGUAGAACAAACAAGAAAACAAAAUUAACUCUAACAAUUUCUUAGAGUUAGCUGUCAAAAAAAAAUAGGUUAAAAUAAUUAAGGGCACACAAAGGAUGCCUUGGUAGUAAGAGCCGAUGAAGGACGUGGUAAGCUGCGAUAAGCCU
rnacentral:sRNA from 1 species